rnacentral:rRNA from 1 species
AAGCAGGGGAUCGUAAGACCUUGCGCUUUUGGAGCGGCCGAUGUCUGAUUAGCUAGUUGGUGGGGUAAUGGCCUACCAAGGCAUCGAUCAGUAGCUGGUCUGAGAGGACGACCAGCCACACUGGGACUGAGACACGGCCCAGACUCCUACGGGAGGCAGCAGUGGGGAAUUUUGGACAAUGGGCGCAAGCCUGAUCCAGCCAUGCCGCGUGAGUGAAGAAGGCCUUCGGGUUGUAAAGCUCUUUCAGCCGGGAAGAAAAGGUUGCGACUAAUAAUCGCAAUUCAUGACGGUACCGAAAGAAGAAGCACCGGCUAACUACGUGCCAGCAGCCGCGGUAAUACGUAGGGUGCGAGCGUUAAUCGGAAUUACUGGGCGUAAAGGGUGCGCAGGCGGUUUUGUAAGUCAGAUGUGAAAUCCCCGGGCUUAACCUGGGAACUGCGUUUGAAACUACAAGACUAGAGU